CCGGAUUGUAAACUGUAGAAGUGUUUUCCCGGCAAGCCGGACCGAUAAGUCCUUUGGAACAGGGCAUCAUAGAGGGUGAGAAUCCCGUCUUCGGUCUGAGCAUUUGCCUUUUGCGAUACACUUUCAAAGAGUCAGGUUGUUUGGGAAUGCAGCCUAAAUUGGGUGGUAAAUCUCACCUAAAGCUAAAUAUUGGCGAGAAACCGAUAGCGAACAAGUACCGUGAGGGAAAGAUGAAAAGAACUUUGAAAAGAGAGUUAAACAGUAUGUGAAAUUGUUAAAAGGGAACCGUUUGGAGCCAGACUGGCUUGUCUGUAAUCAGUCUAAGUUUCGGCUUGGAUGCACUUGCAGGCUAUGCCUGCCAACGACAAUUUGGCUUGAGGGAAAAAACUAGGGGAAAUGUGGCCCAUUCGUGGGUGUUAUAGUCCCUUAGAAAAUACCUUGGGCUGGAUUGAGGUACGCAGCGAAUGCUAUUUGGCGAGUUGGCUGGGAAUAUUUUCUGAGGUGCUCCGGUACUGAGGUUGAUAUUUCCAGUUACACUUCUAUUCGCUUAGGUUGUUGGCUUAAUGACUCUAAAUGACCCGUCUUGAAACACGGACCAAGGAGUCCACCAUUAGUGCAAGUGUUUGGGUGCCAAACCCAUACGCGUAAGGAAACUGAUUGAUACGAAUCCGCAAGGAGGCAGUAUCGUCCGGCGCUGACGUUUUAUACUGAAUUGACCGAGACAAAGCAC
rnacentral:rRNA from 1 species